UACGUAGGGGACAAGCGUUGUCCGGAUUUAUUGGGCGUAAAGAGCGUGUAGGCGGCCAUACAGGUCAGCUGUGAAAACUCGAGGCUCAACCUCGAGACGUCGGUUGAAACCGUAUGGCUAGAGUCCGGAAGAGGAGAGUGGAAUUCCCGGUGUAGCGGUGAAAUGCGCAGAUAUCGGGAAGAACACCUAUGGCGAAGGCAGCUCUCUGGGACGGUACUGACGCUGAGACGCGAAAGCGUGGGGAGCGAACAGG
rnacentral:rRNA from 1 species